rnacentral:rRNA from 1 species
GGAUUCACCUUCGGGUGAUGAGAGUGGCGCACGGGUGAGUAACGCGUAUGUAACCUACCUACAACAGGGGGAUAGCUCCCGGAAACGGGGAUUAACACCGCAUAAGACUACGGAAUCGCAUGGUUCAGUAGUAAAAAUUCCGAUGGUUGUAGAUGGGCAUGCGUGACAUUAGGUAGUUGGUGAGGUAACGGCUCACCAAGCCGACGAUGUCUAGGGGUUCUGAGAGGAAGGUCCCCCACACUGGUACUGAGACACGGACCAGACUCCUACGGGAGGCAGCAGUGAGGAAUAUUGGUCAAUGGACGCAAGUCUGAACCAGCCAUGUCGCGUGCAGGAAGACGGCCCUAUGGGUUGUAAACUGCUUUUUUACGGGAAGAAAACUAUCUACGUGUAGAUAAUUGCCGGUACCGUACGAAUAAGCAUCGGCUAACUCCGUGCCAGCAGCCGCGGUAAUACGGAGGAUGCGAGCGUUAUCCGGAUUUAUUGGGUUUAAAGGGUGCGUAGGCGGGGUAUUAAGUCAGUGGUGAAAGUUUGCAGCUUAACUGUAAAAUUGCCAUUGAUACUGGUAUUCUUGAGUACAUUUGAGGUAGGCGGAAUGUAGUAUGUAGCGGUGAAAUGCA